rnacentral:rRNA from 1 species
AGUGAACGCUGGCGGUAGGCCUAACACAUGCAAGUCGAACGGCAGCACAGUAAGAGCUUGCUCUUACGGGUGGCGAGUGGCGGACGGGUGAGGAAUACAUCGGAAUCUACUUUUUCGUGGGGGAUAACGUAGGGAAACUUACGCUAAUACCGCAUACGACCUACGGGUGAAAGCAGUGGAUCUUCGGACCUUGCGCGUUUGAAUGAGCCGAUGUCGGAUUAGCUAGUUGGCGGGGUAAAGGCCCACCAAGGCGACGAUCCGUAGCUGGUCUGAGAGGAUGAUCAGCCACACUGGAACUGAGACACGGUCCAGACUCCUACGGGAGGCAGCAGUGGGGAAUAUUGGACAAUGGGCGCAAGCCUGAUCCAGCCAUACCGCGUGGGUGAAGAAGGCCUUCGGGUUGUAAAGCCCUUUUGUUGGGAAAGAAAAGCAGCAGGUUAAUACCCCGCUGUUCUGACGGUACCCAAAGAAUAAGCACCGGCUAACUUCGUG